AUCCAACUGAUGAGCCUCAAAUAAGACGAAACGCACUUCCUAGAU
rnacentral:hammerhead_ribozyme from 1 species